AGAUUAAUACCCGAUAGCAUAAUGAUUCCGCAUGGUUUCAUUAUUAAAGGAUUCCGGUAAAGGAUGGGGAUGCGUUCCAUUAGGUUGUUGGUGAGGUAACGGCUCACCAAGCCUUCGAUGGAUAGGGGUUCUGAGAGGAAGGUCCCCCACAUUGGAACUGAGACACGGUCCAAACUCCUACGGGAGGCAGCAGUGAGGAAUAUUGGU
rnacentral:rRNA from 1 species